CCUACGGGAGGCAGCAGUGGGGAAUAUUGCACAAUGGGCGCAAGCCUGAUGCAGCCAUGCCGCGUGUGUGAAGAAGGCCUUCGGGUUGUAAAGCACUUUCAGCGGGGAGGAAGGCGUUAAGGUUAAUAACCUUGGCGAUUGACGUUACCCGCAGAAGAAGCACCGGCUAACUCCGUGCCAGCAGCCGCGGUAAUACGGAGGGUGCAAGCGUUAAUCGGAAUUACUGGGCGUAAAGCGCACGCAGGCGGUCUGUCAAGUCGGAUGUGAAAUCCCCGGGCUCAACCUGGGAACUGCAUUCGAAACUGGCAGGCUAGAGUCGUGUAGAGGGGGGUAGAAUUCCAGGUGUAGCGGUGAAAUGCGUAGAGAUCUGGAGGAAUACCGGUGGCGAAGGCGGCCCCCUGGACAAAGACUGACGCUCAGGUGCGAAAGCGUGGGGAGCAAACAGGAUUAGAUACCCGUGUAGUA
rnacentral:rRNA from 1 species